rfam:Salmo salar isolate Sally breed double haploid chromosome ssa11, whole genome shotgun sequence.
UGGCUCAGUUGGUAGAGCAUGGCACUUGUGAUGCCAUGGUUGUGGGUUUGAUUCCCAU